rnacentral:lncRNA from 1 species
CCUGUUUGGACACCUGGCACUCAUGUGGUGAACACACAGGAAUCCACAAAAACACGCAAAAGUAAAAUAAUUACUUUUUUUUAAAGUAAUGGCAGCCACGCUAUGUUGACACACACCUUUAAUCCCAGCACUCAGGAGGCAGAGGCAGGUGGAUGGAUAUCUGUUGAGUUUGAGACCAGCCUAGUUAGUCUACAGAGCAAGUUCCAGGACAGACUCCAAAACUACACAGAGAAACCCUGUCUGGAAAAAAAAAAAGAAGAAGAAAGAAAAAGGGGAGAAAAAGUAAUGACAACAAAAGCAAAUUGUGUUUUGUAUGAAGAAUUUCACAGGGUUGUACAUUCUGGCUGGAUAAGGGCAGAGAGGAAAUGAAACAACAGAAGGUUUUAAAAGAUAAAGUACUUUAAAUUCCAAACACCAAAUGACAUUGAGAAGUUCACAAAGCCUGCUGGAUGUCUGACCGCCUGCUAGCCUUUUCAGCGAGGACUCCACAGGAACGAGGGUGGAGUCCCCCCCCCAAAAAAAACAAAAAGCAAAUAGUUGGUCACAGAAAAGGAUCCUUUGAAAUCUGUGCACGCAGGACGAAACAUCCAAAGAACUUUAGAGCUCUUUAAGCCGCAACCAGAGCCACGCUCCGGAAACGAGCAGGAUUAAACUAUACAAGGCCCGGAAGUAUUCACCCGGUUAACUCCUUAUCUAGGUGCGUGCUGCUGCCUGGAUUCACCCUCCCCAUUCCGGGGACCGCAGGAGGAGGUCCGAGUGCGAGAUGCCUGAACUCUUGACCCUAGUCUACACCACAGUCUCCCAAGACCUCGGUAGACGGACCCGGCGUGACCCCCGACCUCAGCCCAGGCUUUCGCGGGGAGGCAGGUUGGUGGGCGGGCAGAAGCGCACCUGGGUCCGUCCUCUCGGGGUUUGUUCGCUCACGCACGCGUGCGCAGAAGGGCAGGAGGGCGAGGAAGACGCGCGGAGACCAGAGGCCACCCGGCCUGACACCCUCCCCCCGCCCCCCGCUCGGGUCUCUAUGGGCGCGCGCAGGGCCGCAGCUAGAGCCGCCCCCGUGCUCGCACCGCUCCUGGUCCCGCCACGGAGAUGCGAUCAGUAAGUUGCAGGAAAAGGAGACGCUACUCCCAGCGACCCCGCCGCCGCCGCCGCCGCUCCCGAGGCCUCACCAAAAUGGCCGCCGCCUUCUCGGCCGCCACCGCCACUACCACCACUACCACCACCAAGGCUCGUUAUCGCUACCGCCGGAGCGGCCCGUCUUCUCGCGAUACACAGUAACUGGAGGCUGGAGGGGCGGGUAGGCUCGCGUGCUAGCGUAGGACUCUUGUCUGGAGCGCAAAGCAAGAUGGGAGUUGUAGUCAGUUCCCCAGUUCCGUGCUUGCCCGGCACGCUUCGUGGGAUCUGAAACCAGUCAACUCCGUGCUGCGUUGAAGCUGUACAGUGGGAACAUCCUUUGGGAGGUUUUUUUUGUUUUUGUUUUUGUUUUGUUUUGCAGAUCAGCCAGUGAAAUGAAACAAAUCAGUUUUGGAGCCUGAGCUCCAAGCUCCAAACUCCAAACUCGCUUUGUUUUCGUUUUUUUUUUUUAAAGACAAGGUCUCAUAAGGUAGCUUGGUGGCUGACCUGGACUCGAUAUGUAUAUCUGGCUAACCUUAAACUCAACAGAUGUUCCUGCCUCUGCCUAGUAUUAACGGUGUGCGCCACCACUACCAGCUGCAGUCGACUUUGUAGCAUUGGCUUCCAAAUUAUCCCCCCAACACACACAAACACACACAUAUAUCUGCAAUUGGCGUGCAGGUUUUCCACAUUAAGGACCCUUUUUAUGAGGCUGGGAAGAUGGCUCAGCAACUAAGAAUAUUGGCUGCUUCCUCUUCCAGAAGACCCAGUUUUAUUUCCAGCACUCAAAGCAACUCAUAACCAUCUGCAACUCCAGUUCCAGGGAAUCAGACACCCUCUAAUGACCUUAGAGGGCAAUGCACUAACACCGUGCAUAGACUUGCAUGCAAGUAAAAUAACCAUAAACAUCAAAUAAAAAUCCUUUUUAAAAAAUGUCUUGCCGGCCGUGGUGGCGCACGCCUUUAAUCCCAGCACUCGGGAGGCAGAGGCAGGCGGAUCUCUGUGACUUCGAGACCAGCCUGGUCUACAAGAGCUAGUUCCCAGACAGCCUCCAAAGCCACAGGGAAACCCUGUCUGGGGGGAGGUGGGGGGGAUGUCUUGGAGAAUCUGAUACUCCUUUCCCAUUUUAAGGACCUGUUUAUUGUUAGCAACAGUUCCAAGAAAUAUCUUGAGCCCUUGGUAAAUCAGAGACAGACAUGGGAAAAGCAAUUGUGGACACUGGGAAAUGGCAGUUGAAUAAAGACUGGUGUGGUGGCAUAUGCCUAUAAUCCCAGCACUUACUGGAAGACACUGGUAGAGGCCAGCCUGGACUGUUGCAUACUCGGUAUGUAUACACACACACACACCUUGGCUGUUACAUACUCCGUUUGUAUACACACACCCCUUAGCUCUUGCGUACUCAGUGUGUACACACACACACCCACACACCCCUUGGCUCUUGUAUACUUGGUACACACACCCCUAGUUAAUCUUCUAAAGUUCAAGAUUAUUCUGUCUUUAAAAAGACGUGUAAACUGGGCGUUGCUGGAGCAUGCCUUUAAUUACAGCACUCAGGAGGCUGGUGGAUCUCUGUGAGUUCGAAGCCAGCCUGGUCUACAAAGGGAGUUCCAGGACAGCCUCCAAAGCUACACAGAGAAACCCUGUCUCGAAAAACCAAAAUAAGUAAAUAAUAAAAAGACAUGUAUAUAGUCUUGCAGUAAGUAUAUGUUUGCUUUUUUUCAAGUUAGGAGUUUUAAAAAGUUUUGUGGGUUGUUUUGUUUCGUUUUGAAUAAAUUACAGAGGUGGGGCUGGAGAGAUGGUUCAGUGGUUAAGACUGGCUGCUCUUCCAGAGAACCUGGUAUGUGAUUCCCAGCACCUACAUGGAAGCUCCUAACAAUCUCUAACUUCAGUCUUAGGGAAUCUGACACCCUCUUCUGAUACACAGACAUACAGUCAGGCAAACACUCAUAAAAUAAAAAUCUCAAAAUUAUAGAGGUAAUAAAUGUUUACUUUUAUAAAAAUAAAGUCUAGUAUGAAUUAUCAGCAAAAACCUUCCCCACUGCCAGGCCAUAGUAGUUCACGCCUUUUAUCCCAGCAAAGGCAGGUGGAUCCCUGUGAGUUCGAGGCCAGCCUGGUUCUACAGAGAGUUCCAGGACAGCCAGGACUAUUACACAGAGAAACCCUGUAUCAGAAACAAAAAAGAAAACCUUACCCACAUGUUCUCAGUGCCCUGCCCAAAAGUAAACAUAUUGUUUUACACUUUGCCUUUUCAGAUAUAUAUAAUUAUCUGGAAAGAUAUUAAUAAAAGAUAAUGGGACCAGGUGUGGCACUCAACCUUUCAUCUCAGCACUCAAGAGGCACUAGCAGGGCAAAUCUCUGUGACUACAAAACCAGCCUUGUUUACACAUAGACACACACACACACACACCAAAGGAAGGAAGGAAGGACAGGAAGAAAGUGAAAGAAAGAAAAAAUAUAAAGGUAGGUAGUGGGGAAGAGAUGAUUCAGUAGUUAAGAGCACUGGCUCAGGCCAAAGGACCUGAAUUCUGUUCCUAGGACCAACAAGAUAGCUUGCAAUCUAUUUUAACCUCUUCUGGCCUCUGUGUCACCGAAAGCACAUGGUACAGGCUUACAGACAAAUCACCUGUAUACGUUUUAAAAAAUAUUUUAAUUUUCUUAAAUGCUGGGUAUGGUGAUGAGCAAUUUUAAUCCCAAAUAUUCAAGAGGCAGAAGCAAGAAGAUAUAGAUAUCAAGGCCAGGCUGGUCUACAUACUGAGUUCUCUGUCUCAAGAAAACAAAAUAAGUUGGGCAGUGGUGGUACACGCUUUUAAUCCCAGCCCUCAGAGGCAGAGGCAGGCAGAUCUCUGUGAAUUUGAGACUAGCCUGGUCUACAAGAGCUAGUUCCAGGACAACAUCCAAAACCACAGAGAAACCCUAUCUCGAACACCCCCCCCAAAAAAAGGAAUCAAAAUAAUAAAAAUAGAGCUAGGUGGUAGUGGAACACACCUUUAAUCCCAACACUUGGGAGUCCGAGG